GGGAAGACCUAGCGGCGAACGGGUGAGUAACACGUGAGAAACCUACCCCGAAGACUGGGAUAACUCCGGGAAACCGGAGCUAAUACCGGAUGCCCUCACCAGGCCGCAUGGUCAGGUAAGGAAAGGUUUACUCUGCUUCGGGAGGGUCUCGCGGCCUAUCAGCUUGUUGGUGAGGUAACGGCUCACCAAGGCGUCGACGGGUAGCUGGUCUGAGAGGACGAUCAGCCACACUGGGACUGAGACACGGCCCAGACUCCUACGGGAGGCAGCAGUGGGGAAUCUUGCGCAAUGGGCGAAAGCCUGACGCAGCAACGCCGCGUGGGGGAUGACGGCUUUCGGGUUGUAAACCCCUUUCAGCAGGGACGAUUAUGACGGUACCUGCAGAAGAAGCCCCGGCCAACUACGUGCCAGCAGCCGCGGUAAUACGUAGGGGGCAAGCGUUGUCCGGAUUUAUUGGGCGUAAAGGGCUCGUAGGCGGCUUGGCAAGUCGGAUGUGAAAAUUCCAGGCUCAACCUGGAAACGCCAUUCGAUACUGCUAUGGCUUGAGACCGGCAGGGGAACACGGAAUUCCUGGUGUAGCGGUGAAAUGCGCAGAUAUCAGGAGGAACACCAGUGGCGAAGCGGUGUUCUGGGCCGGAACUGACGCUGAGGAGCGAAAGCGUGGGGAGCGAACAGGAUUAGAUACCCUGGUAGUCCACGCCGUAAACGUUGGGCACUAGGUGUGGGACCCUAUCGACGUUUUCCGCGCCGUAGCUAACGCAUUAAGUGCCCCGCCUGGGGAGUACGGCCGCAAGGCUAAAACUCAAAUGAAUUGACGGGG
rnacentral:rRNA from 1 species